GUUUAAAAGUGCCCACUGUUGGAACACAUCUGAUCUCAUUUGAAAGCUGAUUCCAGCUACAGAUCUAAAAGUGUCUUCUGUUGAAACACAUCUGAUCUCUUCUGAAAGCUGAUUCCAGCUACAGAUUUAAAAGUGCCUACUGUUGAAACACAUUUCAUCUCAUCUGAAAGCUGAUUCCAGCUACAGAUUUAAAGGUGCCUACUGAUGAAACACAUCUGAUCUCAUCUGAAAGCUGAUUCCAGAUACAGGUUCAUACUGUUGUACUUAUUCAUACUAUUUCAUUCGUACUGUUUUAAAUCAUUCAGUGAAUGCAAAG